rnacentral:rRNA from 1 species
CCUACGGGAGGCAGCAGUGGGGAAUAUUGGGCAAUGGGCGCAAGCCUGACCCAGCAACGCCGCGUGAAGGAAGAAGGCUUUCGGGUUGUAAACUUCUUUUCUCAGGGACGAAGCAAGUGACGGUACCUGAGGAAUAAGCCACGGCUAACUACGUGCCAGCAGCCGCGGUAAUACGUAGGUGGCAAGCGUUAUCCUGAUUUACUGGGUGUAAAGGGCGUGUAGGCGGGACAGCAAGUCAGAGGUGAAAACCAUGGGCUCAACCUGUGGCCUGCAUUUGAAACUGUUUUUCUUGAGUACUGGAGAGGCAGAUGGAAUGCCUAGUGUAGCGGUGAAAUGCGGAGAUAUUAGGAGGAACACCAGUGGCGAAGGCGGUCUGAUGGACAGCAACUGACGCUGAGGCGCGAAAGCGUGGGGAGCAAACAGGAUUAGAUACCCUAGUAGUC